GGUGAGGAUCAAGGCUACACAGCUGUGCACAAGGGGACAAGAGGAGGUCAGCUCCAGUCACCGGUCUAGGCAACUAUUGGGCAAGCACACACACAGAAAGUCUCACUCUGACCCAGCUGCCAAGAGUCCAGCAACUCCAAAAAUCCAAAGAUCAGUGUUAAAGUAAUCCUGCAAACUUCGCCGGCCCUUCUACAACCAGCUGGAGCAGGGUCCUCAGUCCUUAGGAAAGCGCACAGAUUGCCUUGCUCCCACCAU